AAGAUAAAACUAAAUGGCUUAUUUAAUUUCACUUAUCAUUUAAUGACACAUUAACGUCACUUAAACUGGGGUUGUGACCCCAGUGAGCUCAAAUAGCAUUACUCUAUGAUAAAUGAAUGGAAAUAGUUUUUGAUACGUUGAAAGCAUUAAUUUGUCAUUGAACAUUGGGAGAACGUUUCCGGUGGCGCUAAUAUGUGGUUUGGUGAAACCGUUAAUACCUUUCAGGUUGCACUAAUAUGCAGUCUCGUAAACGGGAAGAUAUUCAUGGAAUGGGUGAGUCCCGCCGUGCUGAAAGCUUAUCAAUGGCAGAUUAGCACUAUGGAAACUAGUUUGAGGGAGAUUUCGGACAUUUUUUAGGUCAAUACAAGUAGAGGAUUAUCUCAAGAUAUAAUUCAGAAGCUACCAAUUUACGAAUUCUAUUCCCCAAGGACGACAUCUUGUCACGAGACAAAUUGUUCAAUUUGCUUACAGGACUUUAAGAACAGAGAAUCUGCGAAGAUGCUACCAAGCUGUAGACAUUUCUUUCAUGUGCACUGCAUAGACGAAUGGCUUCUCCGGCAGGGAACCUGCCCAAUGUGUAGAAGAGAGAUCUGAAUGGAACUGGACGACGAGGAGAAAACUGAUGGUGCAAGUUUGUAAAAAAACCCGGAGAGAAGAAAUAGGAAAUAGGUCAGAUCCUAAUGAAAAUGUCCCAGUAAUGCUUCUAUCCUUAACUUUGUUGUAGAUAAAUUUUGAAACAAAGAACUUUGAUCUCUCGUAUCUAAUGUAAGAUAGAAGUAGAAUCGAUUCUCGAAUGACCAAAUCAUCAUAGUACAAGUGGAAGUGCUCUAUGAAUAUAUGUAGUACUUGUGAAUACUGCAAAUUGUUUCUUUUAAAUUCUGUAUCUCCUUUUUUAUCG